rnacentral:tRNA from 1 species
GUUUUUAUAGUUGAAUUACAACGGCAGUUUUUCAGGCUGCUAGUCUGGGUUAAAGCCCCAGUAGGAAUA